AAGUUUGUUACUGGCCCUAAUUGUCCCCAAACCCAGUAAACCCUAAACCCCCAACCUCCAUUCUCCCUCGCUUCCUUCUGUCUCUCUGAUCCGCGUUUCUUGCUUCACAGAUUCAGUCUCUUUCCUUCCUCCCGUCGCGCGGUCUUGUCCCUUGCUUCGGCUGCGUCGUUCUUCCGUCGUUUCCUCAGUUCGGUGGUAAAUGGUAUGACAUGGACACUCCCACCCGCCCACCAUACCCCCGCCCUCCACCUCCGCGCCCUCCUCCGCAGCUGCGCCCGCACCUCCUCCCUCCGCCCCGCCACCCAGCUCCACGCCGCCGCCCUCGUCUCUGGCCUCCUGCCACCCACCUCCUCCGACCCCCACUUCCUCCUCAACGCCCUCUUCCACCUCUACUCUCUCUCCUCCCUCUCCCACGCCAUCCACCUCUUCCAUCAAAUCCCCAACUCCCAAAAAGACUCCGUCGACUACACUGCCCUCAUCUCUGCCACUAACCCCAACCAUGCCCUUCGCCUUUUCUCCGAAAUGCGCUCCCUCCCCCUCCCCCUUGACCCCGUCUCCGUACUCUGCGUCCUCACUAAGUGCUCCCAUCUCGGCUGCGUCAAAACGGGCUCGCAGCUUCAUGCACUUGUGGUGAAGCUUGGGGUUUCUGGGUGUGUUAGAGUCUGCAAUGCUUUGAUGGAUGUUUAUGUGAAGUGUGGGCUUGUGGGUGGGGUUAGAAGAGUUUUUGAGGAUAUGGGGUUGAAGACUGUGGUGUCUUGGACUGUGGUCUUGGAAGGUGUGGUGAAAGGGGAGGGUUUGGAGAAUGGGCGGAAGGUGUUCGAUGAAAUGCCAGAGAGGAAUGAGGUUGCUUGGACUGUGAUGAUUGUGGGGUAUGUUGAGAAUGGGAUGACUAGGGAGGCUUUUGAGCUUUUGAGGGAGAUGAUUUUUGGGUGUGGGUUUGUGUUGAAUGAUGUGAGCCUUUGUUCGAUUCUUUCGGCUUGUUCGCGGUCCGGGGAUGUGAGCUUGGGGAGGUGGGUUCAUGGGUAUGCUGUGAAGGAAAUUGGGUGGGAUGUCGGUGUCAUGGUGGGGACUGGGUUGGUUGACAUGUAUGCAAAGUGUGGGAGGAUUGGCGCUGCCUUGGUUGUGUUCAGCAACAUGCCAAGGAGAAAUGUAGUGGCGUGGAAUGCCAUGAUUGGUGGGUUGGCCAUGCAUGGGAAGGGAAAGGAUGUGGUGGAUAUGUUUGAUUCCAUGAUUGGAGAAGGAGUGAGCCCUGAUGCUUUGACUUUCUUGGCCUUGUUGAGUGCUUGCAGUCAUUCGGGUAUGGUUGAUCUCGGUUGGAAGUACUUCAAUGAGCUUGAGUCCAUUCAUGGGAUAAAUCCGGAAAUGGAGCAUUAUGCUUGCAUGGUGGACCUCCUUGGUCGAGCUGGACGAUUGGAAGAAGCCGAAGCUUUUAUUAAAAGCAUGCCAUUUGCUCCAAAUGAAGUUGUUCUGGGGUCUCUUUUUGGCUCUUGUUACACACAUGGGAAGGUGAAGCUUGGGGAACGGAUUAUGAGAGAGUUGGUUCAGAUGGAUCCACAUAACACUGAAUAUCAUAUCUUGCUUUCCAACAUGUAUGCCUUGUCUGGGAAAGAGGAAAAGGCAAAUUUCUUCAGGAAGGUUCUUAAGAAAAGGGGUAUCAAAAAGGUGCCAGGAACGAGCUCAAUGUAUGUUGGUGGCCAGCUUCAUCAGUUCAUCGCCGGUGAUAAGUCUCACCCGCAAACUGCAGGGAUUUACAUGGUGCUAGAUGACAUGAUUCGCCGGUUGAGGUUGGGUGGCUAUGUUCCCAAUACAAGUUCUCAGGUUUUGUUUGGUUGUUCCACCAGGGAUGAUUGCACUGAGGCAUUGGAGGAGGUAGAACAAGUGUUGUUCACUCAUAGUGAGAAGCUUGCACUUGCUUUUGGCCUAACAAGCACUCCAUCAGGUUCUCCAAUACACAUUUUCAAGAACCUAAGGAUUUGCCAAGACUGUCAUUCUGCUAUGAAGAUUGCAUCUUAUGUAUACAACCGCGAAAUUGUGGUCCGAGAUCGAUAUCGGUUUCAUAGUUUCAAGCAAGGUUCUUGUUCUUGCUCUGACUGUUGGUGAAUUCAGCAGAGAUGGGAGCUUGGUAGGAUUGUUGGGGAAGGGCUAAAGGUUUUGUUGCCAAUUCUUUUUACAGUGGAUUGUCUGCUACUUGAGUUUUUCUUCCACACAAUGGGAGGGCGUGAAGGGCUUGUUGAUACAGCGGUAGGGUGCAUAUUUUGAAUAUACUAUGCAUAUUGCAUAAUAUAUAAUCAAUCAGAGCUGGUUUCAGUUAAAUCAGCAGUUACUAUUAUUUUUUUAUUAAAAUCAGAAGCUAAUUGACAACCAGGAGCUGGUUUGUUAAGAUAAUGUAAGCAGCCGCUGGUACAUAUAUUAUGACCUUCAAAUUGUAUUAUAUAAGGAGAAAUUAUUUAUUUUUGUACUCAGUCCUCCCAAUCAUCCAUCUAGUUAUUGACAAAAAGUCUCAGGACAAGCAAAUAUAUAAAAACCUAACCAUCAUUCAGCCAGCAAGUAUUUUUAUACCAUCGUAAUACGGAAAGCCUCACGAGUGUUGUUGAAAAGAUAUGAUAUGAAAACACAAACGAAUCUCUCUCACGCUCCUCUCCAAGGCAUUAGGCGGAUAUCUCAGCUUCUAGCCUCUUCGGCGAGGGUUAACAUGGUUCUGCACUCGCAGUUCCGUUGACAAAGGUUAUGAAGCUUCACCUCUUCAAGAUCGCGACUCCUCUACUUGACUUGUCUGAUUUUCAAAUUGUCGGUGCCGCUGUGUUUUGCACUCUUCCAAGAGGAGAAUGAAGGUCUCGAUUAAUGGAGGAUGUAACGCUCUCACCAGUUGUUGACUUUCUUACUCUUGCAUAGAAAUUCUCUUCUCUAUCGCUCAUUCAUUCUCAGCUGCAGAACAACUCAGAAUUUCACUCUCUCGCUCCAUGUCAAUGGUGGAAUCAGUUUUAGAAGAACAGAAUAUUGAAGAUGUGCCCAAGGUUGAUAUGUGUUUUGGAACCUGUUAUGAUGCAAAUCAAUUUUAUCAGAAUUAUGCCAAGCGCGUUGGUUUUGUUACUAAGAUAAGUUUUACCCGAAGAGUUGGUAAAGAUAAGGUUCCUAAGAAUCAAAUGAUCACUUGCAAUAGGGAGGAAAAAUGCAAGUCUAGAGUUUCACCAAUAGAAAAGACCAACCCUAGAACCAACUACAAUUUUCCCGCAAGAAUUUUUAUUAGGUUGAAUAAGGAGGGUCUUUGGGUUAUAUCAAAGGUGUGUUUGGAUCAUUCACAUCCUUGUGAUCUGGAAAUGGCAAAGUUGUUGACACGUAACAGGGAGAUGAGUAUGUACAUGUGUCAAGUCAUUGAGAGGAAUGAUGAAGCAGGUGUGAGACCAAGCAAAACAUCUCAAAUGUUGGUGGGUGAAAUGGGAGAUUUCUCUAAGAUAAGCUUAAUGGAAAAAGAUGUUAGGAACUAUUUCAGCAGAAAGGUACGCAAUGUUACGGAAAAAAUGGAUGCUAGGGAGAUGUUGAAGUAUUUUACAUGGAUGAAGGAUAUGAACUCUGAUUUUUAUUUUAAUGUUGAACUUGAUCAAUCAAGCAUUUCAAAAUUAUAUUUUGGGCCGAAGCUCGAAGUAGAGCAACAUACGAGUACUUCGGUGAUGUAGUUUCGUUUGAUACUAAUAAAACUAAUCGUUACAAUAUGCCAUUUGGUUCCUUUGUGGGGGUUAAUCACCAAGGUAACUUGGUGCUUCUUGGGUGUGGUUUAUUGACUAAGGAAAAUUCAGACUCCUUUACUUGGUUGUUUAAUGCUUGGCUUAGAUGUAUGCAUGGAAAGGUGCCUAAAGGCCAAUGCCUCGGGAUGCGAGUUGGAAUUGAGAAUGUGAUGCCAGAGACACGUCAUAGGUUAUGCAUUUGACACAUUUUGAAAAAGAUUCCAGAAAAAUUCAAUGGAUACAAAAGAUAUGAAGAGUUACAAAGUGAUUUAAAUAAUAUUGCUUGGGAGUCUACUUCAGAAGAUGAUUUUCAAAAUCAAUAGAAAGAUUUUCUGAUUGAAUAUGGUCUAGACAAUAACAAAUGGCUAUCAGGGUGAAUCAAAUACAUGUCAAGUUACUCCUUGCGAGAAGGACAAUUCAAUCAAGAGGAGAAUAAACAUGAUGGAAAUAGAGCGCGCCCUCUUUCUUGCUCUCAACGCUGAUGAGCACUCUCAAUGCGAAUUAGCCUUCUUGAGCUCGCUGUCCGUCGCCAGUAGCGUCUCCAAUAGAAGUGGCGUUACUCUUUGUGACAGCAUCUCUCGGCUCUCUAUACAUUCCCUUUCGUUUCUACUAAUGCGUUGUGCUUCUGCAAGUGAACCAACUAGGAAAACUGCAACAGGAAGUUGGACUCUGCAACCAAAACAGACUGGCUUAGCAUCAUUUGAUCAUUUGAAAUGGAAAAAGAUCCAAAUAUUAAGAUGCCGCAAAAAAGUACAAAUACAAAGAAAUCUGAAACAUGAACAAAAAGGAAAAUACAGCAGGAAACUUUUGAAGAACUAGCAUCUCGGAUUAUCUAUUACCACAAAGACGCAUUUGGAGAUAAGAAAAAUUAUAUGGGGCCUCCACCACCAUGGGUUGCUUAUUAGGAUAAAGAAAAACCUGACAAGAAGUUGAUACAGAGUCAUUAAAGCAAAGGCCAACGGUAAGAGGAGAAAGAUGAAAAUAGUACGAGAUCGCCAAUGAAAUUAGUGGAAGAAGUUGAACCAAACAAAUUAAUGACGCCUAGCAAUAGGGGUAUAAAUUAUAGUUCUUAG